rnacentral:misc_RNA from 1 species
GCAAAUAAUUUACCUUGGCCAUUCAAACGGGAUGCCAUGAACAAGGUUUUCCCUCCUGGAGCAGCACAACAAUCAAUUAUGUUCUCACCAGGCUGUGGAUCAACAAUAGAGACUACUAAUCCGGCACUUUCAUCCUGGACUGCACAGAAGCCUUCUUUUAGUAACCCAGCCUGUAUAACAUUCUGCAUUCCAGUUUUUAGACGAACAAAAUCAUCCAAGUAUAGAGAAGGCUCAUGUGGGACCUUUAACAUGUUAAGCCUUGAGACGAGAUCAGCCCCUGUCAAACCUUUCCCAGUAUUUGCCCUUAGACUGAAGCUGGGAUAGCUGUUAUUCCAUGUCAUAAGCUUAAUAGCUUCGUCCUGUCCAAAAUACUUUGUCCAUCUUCUUACCAUCCA